rnacentral:rRNA from 1 species
AAGAGAUGGCGACCGGCGCACGGGUGAGUAACACGUAUCCAACCUGCCGAUAACUCCGGAAUAGCCUUUCGAAAGAAAGAUUAAUACCGGAUGGCAUACGAAUAUCGCAUGAUAUUUUUAUUAAAGAAUUUCGGUUAUCGAUGGGGAUGCGUUCCAUUAGUUUGUUGGCGGGGUAACGGCCCACCAAGACUACGAUGGAUAGGGGUUCUGAGAGGAAGGUCCCCCACAUUGGAACCGAGACACGGUCCAA